GCAUUGGUGGUUUAGUGGUAAAAUUGGCCGUUGCCAAGCGGAUAUCGGCCAGCCCCGGGUUCGAUUCCCGGCCGAUGCA
rnacentral:tRNA from 1 species